GAGUUUGAUCCUGGCUCAGAUUGAACGCUGGCGGCAUGCCUUACACAUGCAAGUCGAACGGCAGCAUGAUCUAGCUUGCUAGAUUGAUGGCGAGUGGCGAACGGGUGAGUAAUACAUCGGAACGUGCCCCGUAGUGGGGGAUAACUAGUCGAAAGAUUAGCUAAUACCGCAUACGGACCUGAGGGUGAAAGUGGGGGACCGCAAGGCCUCAUGCUAUAGGAGCGGCCGAUGGUCUGAUUAGCUAGUUGGUGGGUAAAGGCCCACCAAGGCGACGAUCAGUAGCUGGUCUGAGAGGACGAUCAGCCACACUGGGA
rnacentral:rRNA from 1 species